AAGUCGUAACAAGGUUUCCGUAGGUGAACCUGCGGAAGGAUCAUUCGUGUAAGCAACUUGGCAAUAGAGGCAACUCUGGCGUCAUCUUACCAAUCCACACUGUGAACUUUAACCAAUUGGUGACCUAGUAGCGUUGGCCAGCAAUGGCCAACCAGAAGCAGGCACUUGGGGCUUAUUAACAAUAUUAUUCAAGAUUGCCUAAAACUAUUACAAUUUAUACAACCUUUAACAAUGGAUCUCUUGGCUCCU
rnacentral:misc_RNA from 1 species